UUGAGUGGCCUAUUUCCCACCCCCUGGUGUUGGUGGAGUAGCUGUGGAACAGUGAGAGAAGGAGAGAUGAGGACUUGAACAUAUUUGGAAUAUGACCAAGAUGUCUUUACCUUUAUUGAGUCCUGACGAAAUCUGGCUGUUAUAAAUCCUGACUGAAUCCCAUGAUGUUUUCCAAGCAAAUGGGACCACUUUGUAAGAAGCAGAAGCGUCCUCUCACCAUGUGCAAGAGGAGGAGGUGUAAAUGGAGAGAAGCCACCAGCAUUUUCAGAAAGCCACAUGAUGUAACAGCCCCACUGCACCGCCUCAUUUGUGCUGGAAAAUUUUAAAUAAGAGAAAUAGAAUUCUGUUCCAUUAGCAUUGCAACAAGUAUGUUAGCAUAAUAAACUUGGUACCAGGGUGGCAUUCAGCUCCAUUUUACAUGCCCUUCUGUCUCACCUUUCCUUGCCAAUGCCAUUGAAGUCCUAAUGGAAAGACAGCCUUUGAAAGAACCCUGCUGGCUUUUUGGCUGCCUGUUGGCAACAGAGGAGAAUAGGAGGAUGGGAAUAUGCAUUUGUAAAGUUCCACUUGCUUAUCUUACUUAGGGACAGCAUUUUAUCCUUUCAAGCUCAUCUCCCAGCCACUGUAAUUAGGCUUUCCAGAAACAGUCUUGCUGCUGUCUUGACAUCACAAUAGCAUUUUGAUGAGCUUGGACAGUUACCAGUUCAUCCGUCUGGCAAGAUAUUGCUGCAUUUCCAAAGAUUUCACUGUAUCGUUGUGGAUGCCAUUAAUUCCCAGAAGGGAAAGAGAAAUAUUUUUACAACAAUAUGCAAAGAAGUCAUUCAAGAGCAGGCUUAUGGCGUUAAAACUUUUGUCUUCAAACCUAGCAGCAAGUCUUCUCAUAUUGAGUCAUUUACUUACAAGGGCAUAAAUGAGCGCACAGUUCUUUCAUUGAUGAGCAGGCAAGGGAAAACAUAAUCAGAGAAAGAGAGGGGGUGAUAAAGAGAGGUACAUGGACAAAAAGCAAGAGGGAGAGAGAUGUCUUGAGUCGAAAGCUUCUUGAGGUCAGGAUUCAGGUUUUCACUCUGGUUCUUCUUUUGAACAGGAUGGUGCAUGUGAUCAUGUUGAUACUGGGGCAACCUGUCCCAUUUGAGCAUUAGUGAUUUUGCAGUCAGACUUAAAGCGUCUAUUAUGCAUCACGGUCUCCUAUAACGUAUCUUGAACUCGACACCAGAACUGUCCAGUGCCAUGCUUUCAGGAGACUUUUGUGUAGGUGGAACAAGUCUGUCCAUAUAAGACUGCUGGUGCUGAUGCAAGUGUUCUAUUAUGUGCCAUCAAAGCGCUGGAAAUGGGGCUAGUGCAACUGAGAAACUGAAUUUUUAAUUAAAAAAAUCUUUUUUAGUGAUGGAGUCUUGCUCUGUUGUGCAUGCAGGCUGGAGUGCAGUGACACCAUCAUAGCUUACUGCACCCUUGAACGUCUGGGCUGAAGUGAUUCUCCUGCUUCCACUUCUCAAGCGGCUGGGACUACACAGUCAUGCACCACUACACCUGGGUAACUUCUAAAUUUUUUGUACAGAUGGGAGUCUCACUGUGUUGCCCAGACUGGUCUGGAACUUCUAGCCUCAGGCAUUUCUCCCAACUUGACCUCCCAAAGUUCUGGGAUUACAGGUGUAAGCCACUGUACCCAGUGAUCUUUAAUUUUUUCAUGUUAAGUAAUUAGAUAGUGCUAUGGAGGGCUGAGGGUAUCUACUGUAGGUAUUCAUGUAGCAUCUCACCCUAAAAGAGAAAUGUGCAACAACCUCCUUCCACCCCAAGGAUAGAAGAGAAUUCUUCUGAGAUCACUAACUCAACACUUUGAAAUGAAUCUCAAUCCCUCAAGUAGGAGAAAAGGGCACAUGAGUAAUAGAAUAAUGCCCCAUGCCUUGGGCUAAAGACAUGUGCCUAUUAUUUAUGCCUAUCCAUUUCUUUUUCAAAAUCUAGUCAUCGCAAAUAUUUCUAGCAUCACUGUGGAAGUGGAAAUGAUAGCUUUUGCUUUUGAUUAGCACCUGGAACCAUCACAGUGCCCAGUUGCUAGCUCAAAGACGCCUGCUCAACAGAUUCGAUGCCUAUUCUAGAAGGAAGCUUUUAAGUUUUCUUGAAAUAAAAUCCAAGUAUCUUUGCUAUGAGACAUGAUUUCCGGAUGCUGGGAGCAGGGAAAGACUGUUGUCCCCUUCUAUUUGCAAUUGUUUGAUUGCCUUUAACAACCAUCAGAAGGGAAAGAGACCUGCAGUUAAAUUUGAAAUGAUGGACAACUUGACCCCAAAAAGACCUUGCUGUAAUUUGAAUUCCUGUUGGCUGUCUGAAAGCAUUCUGCUGGUGCUCCCUGUUGAUUGAAGUCAACCAGAAUCCAGAGAGGAAAUUCUCUGAAGUUUGAAUCAAAGAUCAUACAUCGUGAUACAACUCCACUACUUAGUCGACUCAUCAUUCUGGCUACCAUUUUGUGUGUGUGUGUGUGUGUGUGUGUGUGUGUGUGUGUGUGUGUGUGUGUUUCCCCUUCAA
rnacentral:lncRNA from 10 species